ACGAACGCUGGCGGCGUGCCUAACACAUGCAAGUCGAACGAGGUCCAGUCAGUGGCAACACUGAGGACGACCUAGUGGCGAACGGGUGAGUAACACGUGAGGAACUUGCCCCGGAGACCGGGAUAAGCCCCCGAAAGGGGGUCUAAUACCGGAUGUCCUCACCGAAUCGCAUGGUUUGGUGAGGAAAUGGAUUCCGCUCCGGGAGAGCCUCGCGGCCUAUCAGCUAGUUGGUGGGGUAACGGCCCACCAAGGCAUCGACGGGUAGCUGGUCUGAGAGGACGAUCAGCCACACUGGGACUGAGACACGGCCCAGACUCCUACGGGAGGCAGCAGUGGGGAAUCUUGCGCAAUGGGCGAAAGCCUGACGCAGCAACGCCGCGUGCGGGAUGACGGCCCUCGGGUUGUAAACCGCUUUCAGUGGGGACGAACCAAGACGGUACCCACAGAAGAAGCCCCGGCCAACUACGU
rnacentral:rRNA from 1 species